rnacentral:lncRNA from 10 species
AAAGAUGCUCAAUAUCAUUAGUCAUUAGGUAAAUGCAAAUAAAAACCACAAUUUGACACCAGUUUACAGUAUUAAGAUGGCUUUUAUCAAAACAAAACAAAACAAAACAAGUACUGGAGAGCAUCUGGAAACGUUGUCCGUUGCUGAUGGGAAUGAAAACAGACAGCUUGGUGGUUCCUCAAAAAGUUGAAUAUAGAAUUACUAUAUGAUCCAGCAGUUCCACUCCUAGGACUAUACCCAAAAUAAUAGAAAACAAGGGCUGGAACAGAUGCUUCUGUGUUACUGUCCAUUGCAAUAUCAUUCACUGUAGCCAAAAGAUGGAAACAACCCAAGUGUCCAUCAACAGAUGAAUGGAUAAACAAAAUACGUUAUGUACAUAAAAUGGAAUAUCACUGAGCCUAACAAAUGAAAUCCUGAUACAUGCUACAACACAGAUGAACCGUCAGGACAUUAUGCUGUGGGAAAUAAGCCAGACACAAACUAUCAAGCAAUAUAUGCGCUUCCAUUUAUAUGAGGUAUCUAGAAUGUACCAAUUCAUGGAGACUGAAAGUAGAUCAAAGGUUACCGGGGGCUGUGGGGAGGUGGAAUGGAGAGUUAUUGCUCGAUGGCUACAGAAUUCUUACCUGGGAAAAUGAAAAGUAUUGGAAAUAGUGGUGAUGGUUGCACAAUAUUGCGAAUGUAAUAAAUGUCAGUGACUUGUACACUUAAGAAUUAUUAAUGGCUGGGCACGGUGGCUCACGCCUGUAAUCCCAGCACUUUGGGAGGCCAAGACGGGCGGAUCACAAGGUCAGGAGAUCAAGACCAUCCUCGCCAACAUGGUGAAACCCCGUCUCUACUAAAAUGUAAAAAAUUAGCCGGGUGCGGUGGUGCGCACCUGUAGUCCCAGCUACUCAGGAGGCUGAGGUAGAGGAAUCGCUUGAACCCGGGAGGCGGAGGUUGCAGUGAGCUGAGAUCGUGCCAUUGCACUCCAGCCUGGCAACAGAGCAAGAUUCUGUCUCAAAAAAAAAAAUUAUUAACAUGGCAAAUUUCAUGAUAUAUACAUAUUUUACAAUUUUUAAAAUUAAUAAUGUAAUAUACCCAAAACCAUUGCAGGUACACUUUGGGUGAAUUACAUAGCAUGUGAAUUAUAUCUCAAUAAAGCUGUUUUGGGUGGGCACAGUGGCUCACAUCUGUAAUCUCAGCACUUUAGGAGGCUGAGGCAGGAGGACAACUUGAGGCCAGUAAUUUGAGACCAGCCUGGGCAAUAUAGUGAGACCCCCAUCUCUACAAAAUCUUUUAAAAAUUAGCCGGGUGUAGUGGCAAGUGCCUGUAGUCCUAGCUACUCAGGAGGCUGAGGCAGGAGGAUUGCUUGAGCCCGGGAGUUUGAGGUUACAGUGAGCUAUGAUCAUGCCGCUGCACUCCAGCCUGGGCCACAGAGCAAGACCCUGUCAAAUAAAUAAAUAAGCUGUUUUUUAAAAAUCACUGUAAUUAAAAACAAAAACUCCUGGAUACCUAAGGUUGGCAAAAUGCUGAUCGUUGUUGUGGCUGGCCGAAUUCUAAAGAUUUCAAGAUUCUAAUUUUGUACUGCUCUGAAGGGACUUUGCAGAUGGAAUUUAGAUGACUAAGUAGCUGACGUUAAAACAGGCAAAUUAUCCUGGGUUAUCCAGGCAGGCCCUUAAAAACAGAGGAGGGAGGCAGAAGAGUCAGAGAGAUAAGGCAGAAACAGAAAGCGGGAGAGGAGAGGGUGAAGGGGGAGAGGGACUAUUUACACUUCCCUUUAGGUUACAGGCACAGAGAAACCUUUAGGCUGAACUUAAAAUAUGUGAGUAGCUUUAAGCUAAACUUGAUUUAACAGGGAAAAACAGGACUUUGCAAAAAUUCUUUUAGGGAGUGUACUAUCGAGCACAUUUGAAGACCACAGGUCUCGAAAGCGGGGAAGACGGGACCCAGAGUCCCCCGCAGCAGCGUCACGGCCCAGCUCUGGUUCUCAAGUUGGGCUGCUGUUUUUCCCCUUUUUCUCAUCCGCCAGGAUGCCAGGCGCUGCUGAAAGCUGCAGCCGAAAGGAUUUAGAAUUCCUUACAACGGAGAAAGGGUCUUUGCUCAGACAACAUGGACUUAAGAGACGGAAGGGCCAAAAAGGCUUGAAAACAGGCUCGAAGAGCGGCUUCCUGGUAGCUAGAAGCUUAAGUGGGGACAGAUGAGCUUAACUGGCAAGCCUGCGUGUGUGCUCUCCAGCCCCCGUGAUUCAGUUUAAAUCUGGGCGGGUCUCCUCAAAGACAGUUCCAGAAGGGGCCACGUGAGGGCAGUAAGAGCCUCUCAAUGCCUGUUUUUGGGGGAAGAGAGAAGUGAGGGCGGAGCGCGGGGAGCGUCCCAGGCCUGGCUACCCGGAUAACUUCCCCAAAAGAAGCUAUGCUCGGGCCUUCCCAUCGUCCCACUCAAGAGCUUUCUUCAUAUUGGUCCCUUGGUUGAAUUCUGUGUUCUGAAGAGGCAAGAAUUGAGGUUGCUGCAGACCUGUAUGGAUUCGCCACCAGUAACAAGAUCUCAGAACACUGGAAAAAUCGAUGCACAAAAAAAAAAGGUUAGCGCUGACUGCAACACUCUAAAAUAAUGACCACUGUUUAGUCGUCAGUGAUAUUACAGUCUAAUCUCAUUUAUAAAUACAUUUUUUAAAUAAACAAUCUCUUGAAGGAUAAUGUACAUUCUGAAAAGUGCACAACUCUUAAGAGUACCUACAGCUCAGGGCAUUUUCCCAAAGUCAACGCCAAUGUAGAGAGUCACUUUUGAGGGUAAACAAGAAUUUGAGGGAGAAAGAGGUUGUUAGCAAUAAAGUGACAUCCAGCUCAUCAGGGGCUUUUCCCACUGUGAUUACCAACAAGACCAGUGGUGCCAAUGGACACAAUUGUAGAGGAGCUUUUGGGGACAUAGCAUCAGAUGCACUUGGUGGCAUCCGAUA